rnacentral:rRNA from 1 species
UUGUCCGGAAUUACUGGGUGUAAAGGGAGUGUAGGCGGGAUAUCAAGUCAGAAGUGAAAAUUACGGGCUCAACUCGUAACCUGCUUUUGAAACUGACAUUCUUGAGUGAAGUAGAGGCAAGCGGAAUUCCUAGUGUAGCGGUGAAAUGCGUAGAUAUUAGGAGGAACACCAGUGGCGAAGGCGGCUUGCUGGGCUUUUACUGACGCUGAGGCUCGAAAGCGUGGGGAGCAAACAGGAUUAGAUACCCUGGUAGUCCACGCCGUAAACGAUGAUUACUAGGUGUGGGGGGAUUGACCCCUUCCGUGCCGGAGUAAACACAAUAAGUAAUCCACCUGGGGAGUACGACCGCAAGGUUGAAACUCAAAGGAAUUGACGGGGGCCCGCACAAGCAGUGGAGUAUGUGGUUUAAUUC